rnacentral:rRNA from 1 species
UACGUAGGUGGCAAGCGUUUGUUCGGAAUUAUUGGGCGUAAAGGGCGCGUAGGCGGUUUGUUAAGUCGGUCGUGAAAGCCCGGGGCUCAACCCCGGAGGGUCGACCGAUACUGGCAGACUAGAGUACAGAAGAGGUAACUGGAAUUCCCGGUGUAGCGGUGAAAUGCGUAGAUAUCAGGAGGAACACCGGUGGCGAAGGCGGUCUCUGGGCAUUGACCUGACGCUGAGGAGCGAAAGUGUGGGGAGCGAACAGG